rnacentral:lncRNA from 1 species
ACAUACUCGUCCUGAGCCGGCUUCAGCCUCUCCGCGCAGAAGUCUCCCGGAGCCGACUUCUGAGAGUCGAGUACUCCUAUGUGAAGACUACCAAGCUCGUGUUCAAGGGAACCAAGGCGAAGAGGCGAGAUGGAAAGAAAGUAUCAAGGAGUGAGCUGAAGCCACUGCCCUUGAGAACCCUCUCGAGGAGUCUGGGCUCAUGAGGAUGCCAGAAUAAGUGGCAGUAAGAAGAAAAAGAACAAAGAUAAGAAAAGAAAAAGAGAAGAAGAUGAAGAAACCCAGCUUGAUAUGUUGGAACCAUAGCCAUUGAAAUGGAUGAGGGAACCUAUAUACAUGCACUCGAUAAUGGUCUUUUUACCCUGGGAGCUCCACACAAAGAAGUUGAUGAGGGCCCUAGUCCUCCAGAGCAGUUUUCGGCUGUCAAAUUAUCUGAUUCCAGAAUCACCCUGAAAUCUGGCUAUGGAAAAUAUCUUGGUAUAAAUUCAGAUGAACUUGUUGUUGGGCGUUCAGAUGCAAUUGGACCAAGAGAACAAUGGGAACCAGUCUUUAAAAUUGGGAAAAUGGCUUUGUCGACCUCAAAUAGCUGCUUUAUUAGAUACAGUGAAGCAGAGGACAUAGAAGCAAAAAGUAAAACAGCAGGAGAAGAAGAAAUGAUCAAGGCUCUCCUAAUCUCUGUCAGACCUUCACCUUUAUGACCUUGCCUUAUCUACCAGAACACAGAUCCCUCUUACUAAAGAUUAGAUCCUGUGCUGAAAGAGAAACCAAGAAAAAAGAUGACAUUCCAGAAGAAGACAAAGGAAAUAUAAAACAAUGUGAAAUCAA